CCUACGGGUGGCUGCAGUAGGGAAUCUUCCACAAUGGGCGAAAGCCUGAUGGAGCAACGCCGCGUGGGUGAAGAAGGUCUUCGGAUUGUAAAACCUGUUGUUAGAGAAGAAAGUGCGUGAGAGUAACUGUUCACGUUUCGACGGUAUCUAACCAGAAAGCCACGGCUAACUACGUGCCAGCAGCCGCGGUAAUACGUAGGGGGCAAGCGUUAUCCGGCUUUAUUGGGCGUAAAGGGAACGCAGGCGGUCAUGUAAGUCUGAUGUGAAAGCCUUGGGCUGAAACGGAGGAGUGCAGUGGAAACUGGGCGACUUGAGUGCAGGAGAGGAGAGUGGAACUCCAGGUGUAGCGGUGAAAUGCGUAGAGAUAUGGAAGAACACCAGUGGCGAAAGCGGCUCUCUGGUCUGUAACUGACGCUGAGGUUCGAAAGCGUGGGUAGCAAACAGGAUUAGAUACCCGGGUAGUC
rnacentral:rRNA from 1 species